UUUAAGGCAAGGUGAUCACAAAAGCUACCUCGCACCUCAUGAGCAAACAAAUUAAGUCAAUUGAGAAAACAUAUGAUAUUAGCAUGACAUUGUGUGUAGGGGAUGGGUGGGGUUCGGCCUGUCGGAAAAUGGUAACGUGUACCCGGGUUAUGUAGUAGUUGGAUGGGUUCACAACAGACGGGCGACGACAUUCUCGGCAAUCAAACACAGCAAUGUUCAGGAGGUCAAGGCUUUCAGUCAUAUGCAUCAUUCCCAUCUUCGUGGUAGUGCAAUGAAAACACGUCACUUCCGUAACGGAACCGAACUGAAGCCAUUGGCUUACGAACCGGACUACGAUUUCAACUUCCAAGAAUUCAGAUCGUUCCCUGAGGAGAUCCCGAUCCGACCUGGUGAUUCAUUUACUGUCGAAUGCACAUUUGAUUCCACAAAACGUCCGGGACCGACCUUCGGUGGUUUUUCGACCCUGGACGAAAUGUGUGUGGCCUAUAUAUAUUUCUACCCUGCACUGAAUGUUACAAGGUGUAAAAGCGAAUCGAAAUAUCCAGUUUAUAACCUCGAUCCGAGACAGUAACUAGACUAACUUUAUUUGGGGAAAACAGCAAAUAUGUAUAUUGAGUCACAUGCAUAUGCAAUAUAGACGAUUGAAAACGUUUGCUCUUCCAACUGGACGAACCCGGCGGUGGUCAAAGAUUUUAUGGAAAACUUUAGCAUGGCGAAUCAUUAUCAUCGAUGUAACGGGCAAAACUUCGGUGUGUAUGCUGGUACGUAUCACUUCCGAACUACUUCCACACCUGCCCUAUGUACCUCCAGCUCCGCAUUUUACACAUAACUAAAAUAGUCGCCAUUUGGAUUGGUCCCCUGAAGUUGUAUCUACAUUGGAAUCAGUAUAACAUAGAGAUGAUCGGACCAGGAAA